rnacentral:lncRNA from 1 species
CAGGUGAAGUGGCUGCCCCGAGGUGAACUGAGCAAACCAAGGAGAGAUUCCCGGCAGCAGGCGCAAAACUGUUCAGGACAUCCCCAGGUGUUACCUGCAACAGUCCAUGUAGCAUGAUGGGAAGGGAACAGUGAGCCCUGGGGACACAAGAAGUGAUUUAUUUGUAGCAUUUAUUAUACAGAAGUACACUGUAGCUGUCUUCAGACACCAGAAGAGGGCAUCAGAUCUUAUUACAGAUGGAUGGUUAUGAGUCACCAUGUGGUUGCUGGGAUUUGAACUCAGGACGUCUGGAAGAGCAGUCAAUGCUCUUAACCACUGAGCCAUCUCUCCAGCCCUCACCUCAUAUUUCUAAGAGCAGUCAGCAAGGCCUCCAUUUGGCAAGCCUUCCUCCGGGGGAACAACAUA